GCCACUUUCAUUCAGGCGCCGCACAUCCACAUGCUUUUAUAUCUUUAUUAGGUCUAAGGUCAAAGUGGUAAGGUUGAAAGAUCAAAUUAGCAAGGGGCAAUGGAAAAAUACCGGUAAUCACUAGAAGGAGAAUGAGGAGGAGGGCAAGUGAAAAUAAAUGCAUGGAGCAGAGACUAAUCUCUGAUGUCGAUCUUCGAGUACAAUGGGAGCGCCCUGAUCGCAAUGGUGGGCAAGAACUGCUUCGCCAUUGCAAGCGAUCGAAGGCUCGGUGUUCAGCUCCAGACAAUCGCCACCGAUUUCCAGAGAAUUCAUAGAGUUCACGAUAGUCUCUUUAUCGGCCUCUCUGGUCUCGCCACCGAUGCUUAGACCCUGUUUCAGAUGCUUUUGUUUCGGCACAAGCUGUACCAGCUUCGUGAAGAUAUGGACAUAAAGCCUGAGACUUUUGCUUCUCUGCUAUUCUUUAUGAGAAAAGCCUGUAAUUGCUGGAUUGGGAGAUGAAGAUAAGCCAUUCUUCUGCACUAUGGAUUCAACUGAAGCCAAGGAACCAGCCAAAGAUUGUGUUGUUGCUGGCACUGCAUCAGAGUCCCUUUAUGGUUCUUGUGAGACAAUGUUCAAGCCUGAGAUGGGAACCAGAGGAAUUCUUUGAGAUCGUUUCUCAAGCAUUGCUAUCAUCAGUAGAUCGAGAUUGUCUGAGUGGGUGGGGAGGCCAUGUCUAUGUUCUAACACCAACUGAAGUGAAGAAGAGGAUCUUGAAGGGCAGAAUGGAUUGACCUAGCUUCCGGCAUUUACCCAAUCCUUCUAAAUUUCGUUCAGGCUGCUGCAUUUUCUCCUCCUAUGUAUAUUUAUGCAGCUUUGACUUGAAUGGGCAGCCAUAAGCCUUCUUGGUGACCAAAGGCCCCCUUGUUAUGUGGUGGCUAGAGUGUAGUGUAAUUUAAUCAAGAAACAGAGUUGGAUAAUCUGAUUUAUACUACACAAUUUUGUUUUUGGUUAUGAAAAAGACCUAACAACCCAAA